GGCGGCAGGCCUAACACAUGCAAGUCGAGCGGUAGAGAGAAGCUUGCUUCUCUUGAGAGCGGCGGACGGGUGAGUAAUGCCUAGGAAUCUGCCUGGUAGUGGGGGAUAACGUUCGGAAACGGACGCUAAUACCGCAUACGUCCUACGGGAGAAAGCAGGGGACCUUCGGGCCUUGCGCUAUCAGAUGAGCCUAGGUCGGAUUAGCUAGUUGGUGAGGUAAUGGCCCACCAAGGCGACGAUCCGUAACUGGUCUGAGAGGAUGAUCAGUCACACUGGAACUGAGACACGGUCCAGACUCCUACGGGAGGCAGCAGUGGGGAAUAUUGGACAAUGGGCGAAAGCCUGAUCCAGCCAUGCCGCGUGUGUGAAGAAGGUCUUCGGAUUGUAAAGCACUUUAAGUUGGGAGGAAGGGUUGUAGAUUAAUACUCUGCAAUUUUGACGUUACCGACAGAAUAAGCACCGGCUAACUCUGUGCCAGCAGCCGCGGUAAUACAGAGGGUGCAAGCGUUAAUCGGAAUUACUGGGCGUAAAGCGCGCGUAGGUGGUUUGUUAAGUUGGAUGUGAAAUCCCCGGGCUCAACCUGGGAACUGCAUUCAAAACUGACUGACUAGAGUAUGGUAGAGGGUGGUGGAAUUUCCUGUGUAGCGGUGAAAUGCGUAGAUAUAGGAAGGAACACCAGUGGCGAAGGCGACCACCUGGACUAAUACUGACACUGAGGUGCGAAAGCGUGGGG
rnacentral:rRNA from 1 species